UUAAAAUUCUGAGCAGAGGGAAGACUUUUUUUUUACCAUGCAUGCGAGUGUUUCCCUGCUUCAUCACACCUGAAUCAAAUACAUGCCAUAUACAGACCUGUGGAGUACUUUGACUGACAUGCUGUAGUAAUUAAACCAUUCAAUUCAGGUGUGUUGAAGUGAGGAAACAACCAGGAGUUACAGGAGGAUGCAUGGCUCCUCUGGUGUUAACGCUGAGGACACUGGAUGACCGCACUGCCCACCCAACAAGCCCCUGACAUCUUCAACCAAAGAGAUGUGGAAACUGGAUUUGCUUUCUUUACAAAACAAUAGCAGCUGGAUAAGUUGGGUGUCGAAAUAUUCUUUCAACACCAAUCAACGACUCAUACGGGCUGGAGCAACAUGUCACACGGUUAACUUUCUCCCCCCCCCCCCCGUAAAAACCCGUGUUCUUAUUCCGUAUGCGGACCGCGUCCACCUCCUGUGAUGGGUUUAUAAAUGCAGAGUCCGGGAGCAUUUUCCUUUUCACGCCCGGCGAGUCUCUGCGUGAGGACGGCACCGACCGAGCAUCUUCCUUUUCUGACGGAGAGAGGGAGAGGGAGGGAGAUCGAGAGAGGGAAAGGAGGAGAAAGGACAGACCUCACCCGCACCUCAGUCUGCUCUGAACCUUUCUACCGGACCGCAGUGGAUGGAUCAACAGCGCAAGAUGUGAAAAAAAAAGGGAGGCUUCUUUCUUCUUUUUUAUUUUCGGCAGGCUGCAGAGUGUUUGAUCACAGGAGCUUCUUCGCGCACAGAGAGGGAUCAGCUGCCUCGCUUUUUCUCUCUGCGCUCUUCCCUCAACGGGGAAGUGGGAUGCGGGUUACGCAGCAUCACCGGCGCCGUCGUUGCAAUCAUCCUCACAGAUACACCUUCCACUUCUUAAGGCCUAUCAGAUUGUGAGCCCGUGGAACAAUA